rnacentral:lncRNA from 12 species
ACAGAUGGGAGUUCUGGUAUCAAAUCAGACUGGAUGCCAAAAACAUAUAUUGACACUGCCUCACCAAAAUGAGGUCUCCCUUGCAAUUAUGGAGUUUUAGAAGAAUUAAGGUAGUGUGGAGGGGGAAUCCCCCUCUGCACACUAGAGGUAGUUCACUUUCGGAAUUUUCUAUGGACA